rnacentral:tRNA from 1 species
AGGAGAUUAAGUUAAUAGGGAAACUCAUAGUCUUCAAAACUAUCUACAUCGGUUCAAAUCCGGUAUCUCUUG